rnacentral:rRNA from 1 species
UACGAAGGUGGCAAGCGUUACUCGGAAUUACUAGGCGUAAAGGGCAGGUAGGCGGUUUGAUAAGUCCGUUGUGAAAGCUCCCGGCUUAACUGGGAGAGGUCAAUGGAUACUGUCGAACUUGAGUAUGGGAGAGGGUACUGGAAUUCCUGGUGUAGCGGUGAAAUGCGUAGAUAUCGGAAGGAACACCAGUGGCGGAAAGCGGCUUCCUGGUCCAGCACCGACGUUCAGGCACGAAAGCGUGGGGAGCAAACAGGG